rnacentral:rRNA from 1 species
GGUUAAGCGACUAAGCGUACACGGUGGAUGCCCUGGCAGUCAGAGGCGAUGAAGGGCGUGCUAAUCUGCGAUAAGCGCCGGUAAGGUGAUAUGAACCGUUAUAACCGGCGAUACCCGAAUGGGGAAACCCAGUGUGACUCGUCACACUAUCAUUAACUGAAUCCAUAGGUUAAUGAGGCGAACCGGGGGAACUGAAACAUCUAAGUACCCCGAGGAAAAGAAAUCAACCGAGAUUCCCCCAGUAGCGGCGAGCGAACGGGGAGGAGCCCAGAGCCUGAAUCAGCAUGUGUGUUAGUGGAAGCGUCUGGAAAGGCGCGCGAUACAGGGUGACAGCCCCGUACACAAAAGCGCAUGUGCUGUGAGCUCGAUGAGUAGGGCGGGACACGUGGUAUCCUGUCUGAAUAUGGGGGGACCAUCCUCCAAGGCUAAAUACUCCUGACUGACCGAUAGUGAACCAGUACCGUGAGGGAAAGGCGAAAAGAACCCCGGCGAGGGGAGUGAAAAAGAACCUGAAACCGUGUACGUACAAGCAGUGGGAGCACCCUUUGGGUGUGACUGCGUACCUUUUGUAUAAUGGGUCAGCGACUUAUAUUCUGUAGCAAGGUUAACCGAAUAGGGGAGCCGGAGGGAAACCGAGUCUUAACCGGGCGUUAAGUUGCAGGGUAUAGACCCGAAACCCGGUGAUCUAGCCAUGGGCAGGUUGAAGGUUGGGUAACACUAACUGGAGGACCGAACCGACUAAUGUUGAAAAAUUAGCGGAUGACCUGUGGCUGGGGGUGAAAGGCCAAUCAAACCGGGAGAUAGCUGGUUCUCCCCGAAAGCUAUUUAGGUAGCGCCUCGUGAAUUCAUCUCCGGGGGUAGAGCACUGUUUCGGCUAGGGGGCCAUCCCGGCUUACCAACCCGAUGCAAACUGCGAAUACCGGAGAAUGUUAUCACGGGAGACACACGGCGGGUGCUAACGUCCGUCGUGAAGAGGGAAACAACCCAGACCGCCAGCUAAGGUCCCAAAGUCAUGGUUAAGUGGGAAACGAUGUGGGAAGGCCCAGACAGCCAGGAUGUUGGCUUAGAAGCAGCCAUCAUUUAAAGAAAGCGUAAUAGCUCACUGGUCGAGUCGGCCUGCGCGGAAGAUGUAACGGGGCUAAACCAUGCACCGAAGCUGCGGCAGCGACACUGUGUGUUGUUGGGUAGGGGAGCGUUCUGUAAGCCUGUGAAGGUGUGUCGUGAGGCAUGCUGGAGGUAUCAGAAGUGCGAAUGCUGACAUAAGUAACGAUAAAGCGGGUGAAAAGCCCGCUCGCCGGAAGACCAAGGGUUCCUGUCCAACGUUAAUCGGGGCAGGGUGAGUCGACCCCUAAGGCGAGGCCGAAAGGCGUAGUCGAUGGGAAACGGGUUAAUAUUCCCGUACUUGGUGUUACUGCGAAGGGGGGACGGAGAAGGCUAUGUUGGCCGGGCGACGGUUGUCCCGGUUUAAGCGUGUAGGUGUGUGUUCCAGGUAAAUCCGGUUCACUUUAACACUGAGGCGUGACGACGAGGCACUACGGUGCUGAAGCAACAAAUGCCCUGCUUCCAGGAAAAGCCUCUAAGCAUCAGGUAACAUCAAAUCGUACCCCAAACCGACACAGGUGGUCAGGUAGAGAAUACCAAGGCGCUUGAGAGAACUCGGGUGAAGGAACUAGGCAAAAUGGUGCCGUAACUUCGGGAGAAGGCACGCUGACACGUAGGUGAAGUGAUUUACUCAUGGAGCUGAAGUCAGUCGAAGAUACCAGCUGGCUGCAACUGUUUAUUAAAAACACAGCACUGUGCAAACACGAAAGUGGACGUAUACGGUGUGACGCCUGCCCGGUGCCGGAAGGUUAAUUGAUGGGGUCAGCGCAAGCGAAGCUCCUGAUCGAAGCCCCGGUAAACGGCGGCCGUAACUAUAACGGUCCUAAGGUAGCGAAAUUCCUUGUCGGGUAAGUUCCGACCUGCACGAAUGGCGUAAUGAUGGCCAGGCUGUCUCCACCCGAGACUCAGUGAAAUUGAACUCGCUGUGAAGAUGCAGUGUACCCGCGGCAAGACGGAAAGACCCCGUGAACCUUUACUAUAGCUUGACACUGAACAUUGAGCCUUGAUGUGUAGGAUAGGUGGGAGGCUUUGAAGUGUGGACGCCAGUCUGCAUGGAGCCGACCUUGAAAUACCACCCUUUAAUGUUUGAUGUUCUAACGUGGACCCGUUACCCGGGUUGCGGACAGUGUCUGGUGGGUAGUUUGACUGGGGCGGUCUCCUCCUAAAGAGUAACGGAGGAGCACGAAGGUUGGCUAAUCCUGGUCGGACAUCAGGAGGUUAGUGCAAUGGCAUAAGCCAGCUUGACUGCGAGCGUGACGGCGCGAGCAGGUGCGAAAGCAGGUCAUAGUGAUCCGGUGGUUCUGAAUGGAAGGGCCAUCGCUCAACGGAUAAAAGGUACUCCGGGGAUAACAGGCUGAUACCGCCCAAGAGUUCAUAUCGACGGCGGUGUUUGGCACCUCGAUGUCGGCUCAUCACAUCCUGGGGCUGAAGUAGGUCCCAAGGGUAUGGCUGUUCGCCAUUUAAAGUGGUACGCGAGCUGGGUUUAGAACGUCGUGAGACAGUUCGGUCCCUAUCUGCCGUGGGCGCUGGAGAACUGAGGGGGGCUGCUCCUAGUACGAGAGGACCGGAGUGGACGCAUCACUGGUGUUCGGGUUGUCAUGCCAAUGGCACUGCCCGGUAGCUAAAUGCGGAAGAGAUAAGUGCUGAAAGCAUCUAAGCACGAAACUUGCCCCGAGAUGAGUUCUCC